CCUUUUUACAGUAUUUUCCUUUAACUUUAUUAAUGUUCAUCAAGACAACAUACUCAUAAUAAUUGUCUUAAAAGUUGAGUUCAUGUAAUAUAAAAUACAUUUAUACAAUUUGUUAUAUUGAUGUGAAAGCACUGUAUUGUUUAUGAAAUAAGCAUUGUUCCAAUGAUUUUUUUUUUUUCCAUUUCCCUUCCUGGUUCCAAUUCUUUGCUUAUGAUUCUCUGUUUUGUCAUGCAUAAAUUGUGCAAGGACCUGCCAUGGCUGUCUGCUUUAAUCCCAAACCUACAACCUAUAUGCCUGACAGACCUCCAGGUAUCAAAUCAUCACCAUCUCUUCUGUUCUUAUCAAAUCAUACGAAUGGGAAAUCUUGGUUUGAUGAAUUUUAUACAGUUUUAGAUCCAUUUUUAGCUGUCAAAAAUUUGGGGUUGAAGUGUUUAUCAAGGGCCGACUCCUCUGUAUCACCACCACCUAGUGGAGAAACCUGGUUUUUUUUCUUGAGGGAUCGUAUGUGCUCUGCAGUCCUUUUUUUUAAAAAAAAAAACUCCAGGGAAGCUUAAUGUUGUUGCUUUCUCUUUGGAUGACUGCUGCAACUACAACCCCUCCGUGAUAUGAUUCUAGGCUGAGAUCCUGCAUCAGCAAUAACUUAUAUUAUAUUGUUGAAGAAGGUGAUCUUGUUUGUCAUUUGCAGCCAUGGAAGCUUUAUGCUGUUGCUUUCUCUUUGGAUGACUGCUGCAACUACAACCCCUCUGUGAUAUGAUUCAGGGCUGAGAUCCUGCAUCAGCAAUAACUUAUAUUAUAUUAUAUAUUAUGCUGAUGGGAAUUAACAAAUCUGUAUGUAUUUUCAUAUAUACAAGUAACAGAAAUCCCAAUUCUUAUAUAUUUCUACAAUCUGAGAGAGUGAUUUUGCAGGUA